rnacentral:rRNA from 1 species
CGGAGGGUGCAAGCGUUAUCCGGAUUCACUGGGUUUAAAGGGUGCGUAGGUGGGCAGGUAAGUCAGUGGUGAAAUCCCCGAGCUUAACUUGGGAACUGCCGUUGAUACUAUCUGUCUUGAAUAUCGUGGAGGUUAGCGGAAUAUGUCAUGUAGCGGUGAAAUGCAUAGAGAUGACAUAGAACACCAAUUGCGAAGGCAGCUGGCUACACGGUAAUUGACACUGAGGCACGAAAGCGUGGGGAGCAAACAGGAUUAGAUACCCUGGUAGUCCACGCCCUAAACGAUGAUCACUCGACAUCAGCGAUACACUGUUGGUGUCUGAGCUAAAGCAUUAAGUGAUCCACUGGGAAGUACGAUCGCAAGAUUG